rnacentral:piRNA from 1 species
UCCUAAAUAAAGGUCAGGCAAACAAUGGA